AAGUCGUAACAAGGUUUCCGUAGGUGAACCUGCGGAAGGAUCAUUACAGAGAAGGAGGCUUCGUGCCUCCGGGGGCUCACCGCCCUUCCUCUCUCACCCUUUGUUUACCACACCUCCACAUGUUGCUUUGGCGGGCCUUGGGGUCGUGCCCAUGCCCGAUCCUCUGGGUCGGGUGAGCGCCCGCCGAAAGCCCCCGAUUUUCAACUCUGUUUUUACGAACCGUGCAGUCUGAGUGAAAAACAAAAAAUCAAGCAAAACUUUCAACAACGGAUCUCUUGGUUCUGGCAUCGAUGAAGAACGCAGCGAAAUGCGAUAAGUAAUGUGAAUUGCAGAAUUCAGUGAAUCAUCGAAUCUUUGAACGCACAUUGCGCCCCUCGGAAUUCCGGGGGGCAUGCCUGUCCGAGCGUCAUUGCACCUCUCAAGCGUAGCUUGGUCUUGGGCGGCCGUCCGCGAGGGCGCCCCCGAAAAUGAGUGGCGGUCCGGCACGACUUCGAGCGCAGUAAAAAUUAUUUUCGCUCCGUAAGCCUUCGUGACCGCGACCCGCCAAGGGAAGACCUUAUUCCAUAAGUUUGACCUCGGAUCAGGUAGGGAUACCCGCUGAACUUAA
rnacentral:rRNA from 1 species